UCAGUGGGAACCUGGAACCUGAACCACACAGGGAGCCUACCUGUUCCUACCUUCCUGCAUCUCUUAGUGCCUGCCGGAGCAUUACCUAGGGUCAGGCUCUGUCCACCACUAGAUGCUGCCCCGUAAACGCCUCCCUCGGCCAGCCCAUCCAGGAUGUGUCAACACGCAGACAAGAGAAGAAAGAAAGAAAGAAAGAGCCUCACCAACAUUUUGAGAAAACCAGCAGAUGGGGAGCCCAGAAGAACUGACAAAAGUAAUACAUUGUCUCCACAAGAUUCUGUGACAGAAGAAAACCCCAUAUUCCUCAAGCUGGGAGAGGUCCCUGAAAGUAACUUUGUCCAUCAGACAGUGGCCCCCUUGGGUCCCCCCAGGCCGACAAGUACCUUGAGGCCUCCACUCCCAACACGCUGGGCCUUCAGACGAUCUUGCUGUGUCUAAUCCAGUCCAUACAUCCUCUGGGGGCCUAGCCUGAAAGGCCAGAGCAGCUACAGGGCAAGAAUGAACCAGAACUAGAAACUGGAGAGGCCAAGGGCGCCUGAACAAGGUGCAUGGCCUGGAGAGGACAAAGCAUGCUUCCUGCGCCCACCCUCUGACACUUCACCUCCAACCACAGCUGUCCUGUUAUCCAGCUAAGUCCUGCUGAGUGGAGGCCUGAGAGCAGCUGUAAGGGGAGACAGCCACCCAAGAGCUCACUCACAUGCUGAGUCCUGGAACAGGACAGGGAAGCCCUCUCUAUCUUGAUGCUGGUGCACCGCAGAAGGCUGGCAGGGCGCUGCAGAGGUACCUUUUGACUUUACUGGCAGCUCCCACUGACCCUUGGAUGGGACACCUCAGGGCUCUAAACUGGGCCUUAGCAAAUUUCUCUUCAAGGAAAGGAAACAACUGGAGAUGUCAAAGAAACUACCUGGUCACUAGAUGGGUCUCCAGCAUCUUGUACAUAUGCUUGAACUUACACCAGAAUCCCUGACUCAGGAGAAUC